CGUUUCAAAAGCAGCUACAGUGGCGGAGGAUAAACUAACUGCUACCUUUCCAGGAUCAAAUGUUCCUGUAAAACUUCCAAUUCCCCGAUUGGAGCCUGUUCUGAAACCAACACAGGGAAACAGAAGAAGACCCAGGAAGAAAUCCAAGUUGAAAAGAAAGAAUUAGAUCGAGCCCAGAAGAAAACGAGGUGGAUUUCACAGGAGGAAGAAGAUGGAUGCAGAGUUAGCCAUUUCUGCUUGACAAAUGUCUGGAUGUUUAUUUGGCUAACAACAACAACAACAACAA